UGGAUGUCUCACAUUGCUCCCUGAACCUGAAGGGAACAGUUUGAAGUUCAGAGACUCUUGACUCUAUUUUCCGCAUAAACUUCAUCAUCUAGUCAUGGACCAAGAGUUAAAUUCUGCUUCAAAUGAGCGUCUGCUCGUAACAAUUAUGAUGACGUGGACAGUAUUACUCUUGUUUCUGAUAAUAUUGUUCAUAAAACUGUGUGUUGCUUUCUACUAUUUCAUUCGUAGAAGGCGCACCUUUUACAACAUACUUUAAACAGUAUGUGGCCACAUUGGAUCCCUCCACAUAUCAGCAUUGGUGAAAAACAUCAAACUCACAGGCAGAUAUGAAACCUAAAUAAAAAGAUCUCACCAUCAAC